UACAGAGGUGGCAAGCGUUGUUCGGAUUUACUGGGCGUAAAGGGUGCGUAGGUAGUUUUGCGUGUCAGAUGUGAAAGCUCAUCGCUCAACGAUGAAAGUGCAUUUGAAACUGCAGGACUGGAGUACGGGGGAGGAGAGUGGAAUUCUUGGUGUAGCGGUGAAAUGCGUAGAUAUCAAGAAGAACACCGGUGGCGAAGGCGACUCUCUAUCCCGAUACUGACGCUGAGGCACGAAAGCUGGGGGAGCAAACAGG
rnacentral:rRNA from 1 species